CCCUGGCGCUGAGGGCCUGUUCCCCCCUUCGCUUCCGGGCGGGAAGCGCCCCGCCCCCACUGUCCCUCUGGAGGGAAGGAGGCGCUGCCUUGGGCGGGUUCCCCCAAGGGCUGGGGAGGCGCCGUCACACAACUCGCCAGCCGGCCCCAGUCAGAGCCGUGUCGCGGGGCGCUGAGCGGGGACACGCGCGCUCCUCCCCGGGGUCGAGGCAAUGAGGAGCCGGUGGGGGAGGGGCCGCCGCGAAGAAGGGCCUGUGGGAGGAGGACGCUGCAGUGCGGGGCCCCUGGCUGGGGGUGAUGCUGCACUGAGAGGCCCGUCGAACUGUGAUGGAAAAUAGGUCCUGGGGCUUGGAGUCCUGUGAUGAGGGGAGAAUUUCAGCUACUGUUUAAAAGAAAAAUAGCUUCUGGCCCUCAUGGCACAGCAAAGCUUGGACAUGUUACACCCUUGUGACCCAAAGGGUCAGAACCCAGAAGACAAAUAAAAGGACCACCACAAUUAUUGUUUUUUAAA